AAACUGCAAAACAUUACUUAGAAAUUGCACAUUUCAUAAAAUCUACAAUGACAGUCAUGAGCGUAUUUUUUGGAAGUCUAUGACAACACCACAGCCGCUUAUGCCCUUAACCAAUAUCGGUCACUCAUGGCCAGAGGCAAACAAGCUGAGCCAAAAGUGAAAAUAAAAGCCAGUCCACGCAAACAACGCGAGCGUAAAAGGAGCACUUUCGCUUACAAGUCGAGCAACGAUCCGUCGAGCAGCACGCAAGAGAAGUCUGUCAAAAAGUCAAAGCGGAGUCAGAAAAUUCUGAUGGAAAGUCUAAUUGCUGGUUACCUGGAGCUGUGGAAUAGGCAUACAAGAAGUCGGCCUCCACAGGAAUCUUCUCCGAUGUUUGCUCCUCAACACUGUCGGCUUGGAGGCCCGUCCCCUCAUCCAGUUCCGAGCCACGGCAUGCCUGAAAGAUGUUUGUUCUUUCAAAAUUACUCACUACAAAUAAAAUAAAAUGGUCCUUAAUGA